rnacentral:rRNA from 1 species
CAGGGAAUCUUGCACAAUGGGCGAAAGCCUGAUGCAGCGACGCCGCGUGGGGGAUGAAGGCCCUAGGGUCGUAAACCCCUUUCAGCAGGGACGAAGAUGACGGUACCUGCAGAAGAAGCCCCGGCCAACUACGUGCCAGCAGCCGCGGUAAGACGUAGGGGGCGAGCGUUGUCUGGAUUUAUUGGGCGUAAAGAGCUCGUAGGCGGUUGCGUAAGUCGGAUGUGAAAACUCAGGGCUCAACCCUGAGACGCCAUCCGAUACUGCGCUGACUUGAAUCCAGUAGGGGAGUGCGGAAUUCCUGGUGUAGCGGUGAAAUGCGCAGAUAUCAGGAGGAACACCCAUGGCGAAGGCAGCACUCUGGGCUGGUAUUGACGCUGAGGAGCGAAAGCAUGGGUAGCGAACAGGAUUAGAUACCCUUGUAGUCCCUGAGCGGGCUGGCAAGGCGCAU